rnacentral:rRNA from 1 species
AGUGAACGCUGGCGGCAGGCCUAAUACAUGCAAGUCGAACGGCAGCACAGCAGAGCUUGCUCUGUGGGUGGCGAGUGGCGGACGGGUGAGGAAUACAUGGGAAUCUGCCCAGUCGUGGGGGAUAACGUAGGGAAACUUACGCUAAUACCGCAUGCGCCCUUCGGGGGAAAGCCGGGGACCUUCGGGCCUGGCGCGAUUGGAUGAGCCCAUGUCGGAUUAGCUAGUUGGCGGGGUAACGGCCCACCAAGGCGACGAUCCGUAGCUGGUCUGAGAGGAUGAUCAGACACACUGGAACUGAGACACGGUCCAGACUCCUACGGGAGGCAGCAGUAGGGAAUAUUGGACAAUGGGCGCAAGCCUGAUCCAGCCAUGCCGCGUGAGUGAAGAAGGCCUUCGGGUUGUAAAGCUCUUUUGUCCGGAAAGAAAAGCAUCCAGUUAAUACCUGGGUGUCCUGACGGUACCGGAAGAAUAAGCACCGGCUAACUUCGUGCCAGCAGCCGCUGUAAUAC